rnacentral:other from 1 species
AUUUGCCUGCCGUGUGCGUCAGCCCCUUUGUGUUUUAACCUACAUUAUACAAACGGGAGCCAAUAUCUAGUUGUUGCAGUCAGACCUGCUACGAGUAGGAAGACUAAGACAUCUGUGAGGCGCCCACCUGCGAGAGGCAGGUUUUAAAACCUUGGUGGCAACGGCAUAGGCGGGCCUUCU